GGAAUUGAGGGGCCCGCACAAGCGUGGAGCAUGUGGUUUAAUUCGAUGAUACGCGAGGAACCUUACCUGGGCUCAAAUGUAUGUUGACGUAUUCUGAAAGGGAUACUUCUUCGGACAAUAUACAAGGUGCUGCAUGGUUGUCGUCAGCUCGUGCCGUGAGGUGUCGGGUUAAGUCCCAUAACGAGCGCAACCCCUAUCAUUAGUUGCCAUCAGGUCAAGCUGGGGACUCUAAUGAAACUGCCUACGCAAGUAGUGAGGAAGGUGGGGAUGACGUCAAAUCAGCACGGCCCUUACGUCCAGGGCUACACACGUGCUACAAUGGCCGGCACAACGGGAAGCGAGUUCGCGAGGACGAGCGGAUCCCUCAAAGCCGGUCGCAGUUCGGAUUGAAGUCUGCAACUCGACUUCAUGAAGCUGGAAUCGCUAGUAAUCGUGGAUCAGCCAAGCCGCGGUGAAUACGUUCCCGGGCCUU
rnacentral:rRNA from 1 species